rnacentral:rRNA from 1 species
AUUGAACGCUGGCGGCAUGCUUUACACAUGCAAGUCGAACGGUAACAGGCCGCAAGGUGCUGACGAGUGGCGAACGGGUGAGUAAUGCAUCGGAACGUGCCCAGUCGUGGGGGAUAACUACUCGAAAGAGUAGCUAAUACCGCAUACGAUCUAUGGAUGAAAGCGGGGGACCGUAAGGCCUCGCGCGAUUGGAGCGGCCGAUGUCAGAUUAGGUAGUUGGUGGGGUAAAGGCUCACCAAGCCAACGAUCUGUAGCUGGUCUGAGAGGACGACCAGCCACACUGGAACUGAGACACGGCCCAGACUCCUACGGGAGGCAGCAGUGGGGAAUUUUGGACAAUGGGCGCAAGCCUGAUCCAGCAAUGCCGCGUGCAGGAAGAAGGCCUUCGGGUUGUAAACUGCUUUUGUACGGAACGAAACGGCUCUGGUUAAUACCCGGGGCUAAUGACGGUACCGUAAGAAUAAGCACCGGCUAACUACGUG